GAAAGUUGAGCUUUUACUAGAACUUUCAAAUUUUGCUAUAAGUGGUAUCAAAAUACAUAGUUAAGGUAGAGUACAUUCGCAUGUCAAGUAUUACACAAUCCGCACGAUUGAGCGAAUAAGUUUGAGUCAAGUGGAGCAAGGGAUCACUCAUGCGUUUCCUUUGCCACUACGUUGUAAAGUAUAAUUUGAGUCGAAUAGAGCAGACUUAAGAUGACUCUGAGAAACUGCUUAGGGUGAAAGGUUCACAAGGAGCAUGGUUAAUUAGAGUCGAGUUAGAGCUUUUGAAUGACUCAAAGAAGGUAUUUUUAAUAGCGACUAUUCUAAUUAUGUGAUAUUUGUGAUGUGUAUUCAAGUGAAGUUAGAUACUUGUGAUGGGUAUUCGGGUGAAAAGUGAAUUUGGUGGAAAAUUUUACAUAAAUCCUACAUUCUUAACCUAAUAAAUUGACUUUUUAGUUAAAGAGGUGAAUCAACAUCCUUCAGGUGUGCGUUGCAUUGGUAAUAAAUUGAUGUACGUGGUAUCAGAGAACGAUUUAUUAUGGAAUUGUAAGAUCCACCCACAUCUUUCACAAUAAUUUAUGUAGAUGAAUUGAUGAUGUUUGGAUAGAACUAAGGAGUGUGAGUCGCAUGCGCGUACACAAGAAGACACUAACAUACAUGUUUGUAACCCUUUGACCUAAAAGUUUAAACUAUUAGGUCUUAAGUCCAUUCAUAUAUAUUAAUCAUUCACUUAUUCAUUAAAGCAUCUGAUGUGAGAUUCCAAUUCCUAA
rnacentral:lncRNA from 1 species